GCAUAUCAAUAUAGUUAUUUUGCUAUUUUUUUUUUACGUCUAGAUUUAUUAUUUAUUGCAAAUUAUGAGAACUGUUACAUAGACGAUUCUACAACGGACAAUUCCUUCCGACCCUUAUUAGAUCCACGACAAACGACACUUCAUUCUCCACGCUCUUGACGGACACCUUCAAUGAUCCAUGACCUGACGACACUUCUCUCUCGGCGUAGAAUCCUGGCGAACGGCUAUAAUUGUACUUCGCUGGAGAUCUCCUGCACACUUGCCUCAUUUAAUCUGCAAAUUUAUUAAUAAAUCGCAAUAUCUGGGACUCGAACCCCAAACCUCUUGGUGUAGAAGCAUUAAUUAAC
rnacentral:lncRNA from 1 species